rnacentral:rRNA from 1 species
UACAGAGGUGGCAAGCGUUGUUCGGAAUUACUGGGCGUAAAGGGCGCGUAGGCGCCAUCUAAGUCAGACGUGAAAUCCCCCGGCUUAACCUGGGAACUGCGUCUGAUACUGGACGGCUUGAGUAUGGGAGAGGGAUGUAGAAUUCCAGGUGUAGCGGUGAAAUGCGUAGAUAUCUGGAGGAAUACCGGUGGCGAAGGCGGCAUCCUGGACCAUUACUGACGCUGAGGCGCGAAAGCUAGGGGAGCAAACGGG